AGGGGCGUGUGGCGGCGAGACCCCCGCGGCCCCUGCUGCGCCCGGAGCGGGACACGGGGCUGUGCGAACUCUUCCGGAAUUCCUGCUCAUUUCAUCUUCUUCUCAUCCUCCUUGUAGUUAUGUUUUGGGUGUGCUUUAUCACGCACGCCACGUGUCGGUGCAGCGGUGCUUGCGUGUGGUUUAUAAAUAACUCCGUGUACACUGGGGACACGCUCGCUCGGGGGUGUUUCACUGCCAGGGGCGCGCUGCGGCCUCUCCCGGCCACACUUAAGGAUCUAGAGCAUUAAAUAACAUUAAGAAUUAACAGAUGCCAAAGGAGUCGCAUUCCUUUUUCCGUGGGAAGGAGGUCAGCGCCGGCGGCGGGGGUGUCGCAGCAGAUGGCUAAGAUUUUGCUCAUGACCCGUGAGCACUGCACGGGACACCUUCUUGAUGCAUCUCCGUAAUCUCAUCCUGCAGCUUCUCCAGUCAUCCCUUCCUGCAGUAAUCAAAACUGAGGUUACUGUGAAGCUUUAGCCCCGAUGAUUGACAAGAAAACAAUUGCCUGAUGAGGAAAAUGCCCCUGCUCCCACCAUGUAUUGGCGUUUCGGCUCCAGAUAAUAUUUUCUGUGCAUAAUAACUAACGCAGCCUGAGGGAACCUUGUCGACACGGCGUGAAUUCGUCCACCUUUAAUCAGCGUUCAGGCGGAGAGCGGCUUCCCACCCCUGUGCAUGGGUUGGUGUGCCGGUCGGGAAUGGUUUGAUCUCUCCGCAGCUCAGCCAGCCACUACAUCGGAUUGCUUGGGAAGUCAGCGGGGCUGCCGGGUACCAGGAUAAAGUUCGUGGGAAGGCGUCAUUGCAAGAGGACUGACAGUGCACACAGGAACCACAGUUACAGCCAGUCACUUAUUCGUUUCCUGCUUGAGUGCCAUAAAACAUUUUCAGAAAUGGAAGGAGAAAAAGGGCAAAGUGCUAAAGCUACCAGUGCAGUGGGUGACCUGAGGAAAAGCUGGCAGACCUGGGCAGAGGAUCACAUUGAAUAUCAGAGGAAGAAUCCAUUCAGCAGCGAUGACAGGCUUGCAUCUAAACCUGCACAUACUCACAGAGGAGAUCCUACCUACGGGAGACCCCCUGAAGGGUCUCGGACAGAGCAGAGAGGGAGAGAUGCUCACUCACACGUGGGUAAGGAAGUAGAAGAGCUGUGCUUGAUCAUCAGAAGAACUGGAGAGGUGGGAGAAGAUGGACACGUGAGAGUGACAUUCGGGCAGCUGUUUGAAACAUAUGUGACUAUUUCCAAUAAAGUAGUGGGAAUCUUGUUAAGAGCCAGAAAACAUGGUCUGGUUCAUUUUGAAGGUGAAAUGCUUUGGCAAGGAAAAGAUGAUGACGUAGUCAUCACUUUACUACAAUAAGGCUUUGUCCUGGAAUGAACUUUGCUGCAUAGUUCCAGUUGGAAAAACAUAUCUAGAUACCGUCUUCACAGGUUUUGGUUACAGAAUUUCAACUCAGCUACCUACUGGGACACAAGCAGGAGAGGAAAUGGGCGAGAAGGAUAUUUUUUUUAAAAUGGUAGAGAUUUGGACAGAAAUUGCAGAUUAUGAGCUACUCUAUCAUGCUGACAUUGGAUUGUCCUUAUUAUCAUCUAUUAGCAAAUAUAUGAGUGUUCUUCAAAUAACUGUGCUGGCCUACUGCUUUUAGGUUACUAAAAGUAUAAAUUACUAACUUGCUAUGCUACACCACUGAUUCCUGCAGUUUGUGAAAUACUGCGUGGGAGAAUGGGAUUUGUAAAACAUGGAAUUGAAAACUCUUGUGGGAAUUCAUAUACUUCUUUAAACAAAGAGCCUGGUAUAGAUCAAAAAUUUUAGGUUCCAUCUCACAUAGUUAAACUGAAUAAAUGGAAGUUAUUUUCAUGAAGUAGAUAGAAAUUCCCAAACUUACAAAAAUAUCACAGCAAGUGUACUUGAUGGUUCCUAAAUUAGUUGCAUCUUACUUGGAUUUUGGACAGCUGCACUGGUUUUGGUAUUUAAUAGGCUAAUCUUACAAUCAUAUCUUCUCCAAACCUUCUGUGUCUCUUGUUCUUUUUGUUUUCUAUCUCACACCAUUUUUUUCCUGUUCUUCUAACACUUCAGAAGUCCACAAAGCUCUGGAGCCUUUUCAGUGAAUUCAGCUAUACCCCUUCAGAGAAGGUGGGGUGCCACAAUGUGAAGACGCAAAAGUCAGCAGUCACUCUGUAUUGGGGCACCUGUGCAUUCAUAAGGAAAAAAAAAGGCUCUUCUUUCACCAAAAUGUAGCAAUGUUUUUUACAAGAGGAGAGUAGAGAUACUGUAGUGCCAAAUGCAUAAAUGAAAGUAUAGCAGCAGUCCCAUACCUCAUUUACCUGCUUUCAGAGCACAGAUGUGAGCUCUUGAGAAAGAAAAAAAAAAAAAAAAAAAAAAAAAAAAAAAAAAAAAAUUUGUUAUAUAACAUAGUUGUGAUAGUGCUAUGAAAAAUAAUCAGGAGCUGUAUUUACAAUAGUUCCCACCAAUAAAGCUGUAUAAUUAGAAAUCUAAAGUUCUAUUUUUUAGCAGUGCAAAUAGAAGCUUCUGUGUGGCGUUAACUACACUACUUGAUGGGUCUUUAAAGUAAGAGACUGUUCUUGCAUCAAAAGGAUAUUAAAAUUUAAUAUAAAUUAGGAACUUGAUAAAAGUGAUGUGUAAUUUUAUGAUAUUUAUAAAAAAACUUCUGUUGCAAAAAGCCUAAAAGAAUGGGGGUUUGUUUUGAUGUUUUCAUCCAAUGGGGAUUUGCACCAAACUAAGUCUUUGGCUGAGGAUUUCAUUAUUUUCCUGCCUCCUUUUUUCUUUUUCUGGUGAAAGGACAAUGAAAAGAGAAAAAAAAAAGGAAUAAAUUAAUGUGCUGAAAUCAGUAUAUCUGGGGAACAGGGCAGUCAGGUGCAGGUAGAGAAUGGAUUUUAAUCACCACAUAAUUUUACCGCAUUGGAGAAGGAGGAAUGUGCGCUGCACCAGGCACUGUUGGUGUGCUCCCUUAGCUUUCAGAGCAAACCUACUGCUUCUUUCUAAACAGAUCUACAUCUUGCAGCUGAAAAAGAAGUAGAUGCAGUUUGUGGUCUUAACAUAUUUACAAUGCUUUGUGUUUUUGAAAAAGCAUUUUUUGCCAAAUGACAUGAGCACACUUAAUUUUUCAGCUCAUAUUAGAGGAAGUCUUUACAUGCAUCAGAUUUCAACACAAAUUGAACUUUUUAUAGUACAGUUGUGGAAUGAGUUUUGUUUAAUUCUAAUAAUUCUGAAAUCCACUCAGUUCUGCUGUAGUGUUAGUUCAUAACUUGCAGGAAGCAGCAUCAGGCAUUUCAAGUGUCACCAGCUGACUAAUGGGAUGGCACUAUCAGGAAAAAUAAUACAUUGCUGGACAUUGUACAAAUAAUUCAUUGCAAGACACACAUGUGAGGCGGUAUGUAGCCUGAGCACCAUAAGAUGCAAGUCCAGCUCACAUAAAUUUACUACAUUUUAAUUAAGGCUGGCUCAAAUAGUUGAAUAUCAGCAAUCUAGGCUGUCACUGCCAUGUAAGUGUUGGAUGUUUGAACACAUCAACAAACACUUUUUAAGGACACCUCUGAUCAAAACAGAAGCAGAGCAAACCCUUAAUGACAUGGUCUUACCUACUUUGUAAGUGACUAAAAAAAGCUUCUCUAUUAUUAUAUUUUUAAAAGAACCAAGGAUUACUAUAUAACAAAUCUAUUAUUUGUAGAGGGAUUUUUUUUAAACAGUUACAGAGCCAACCUGCCAGCUUUAGAUGAGCAUUCUGGAUAAUGGGACUAAAAUCUUUCUGUGUGCCCAUGCAAUGAUUAUAAACACUGAGCUGCCAAACUGGCUCAGCACACAGGUUGACAAAUCCAGUCUUGUGCUUCCAGCAAUAGCCAGCAUUUCAAAAAAAGACUAAAAGAUAGAUAAUAGAACUGAUCAGCUUGCCCACUGGUACACUCUGGAAUAAAAAAUUACUCCUGAAGCCUGUCUAGUCAUGAAUGCAUUAUAUCUAAUGCAAAUGACUCAGUUCAGCUACAAGUUUUUCAAAAUUAUGCUUCAUCUGUGAUUAGAUUAACAUCUACAGAUGAAAUAGGAAUUUAGACUUUUCAACAUGCAACUUGUUUUUUUCAGCAGGCUCCCAUUAGAGUAAAUGGAACAGAAUUUAUUAAAUUGUUUUUGCAAAAAUUGUAGCAUAUAAGGGGUUUUAGUAUUACAGAUUAUUUGGAGUAGUAAGUAAACCCCAAACUUUUUAAAAGGUGUUCUUGCCCUACUAAGCAUCUUUCAGCUGUUUAAAUCUCUCCUAAACUUCACUUUGUGACAGAUUACAUCAGUGGUCUUUGCCCUCCUUCCACUUGAAGUCUGUAAACUCUGCAUCUGUUUUGGACUGUAUAUCAUAGAGGGAUUAUCUGUGGUUUGUCAAACACUGAAGGCAUGUCACCAUUUCAAUAAAUGUUGCACAUUCGUUUGAAA